AUUGAACGCUGGCGGCAGGCCUAACACAUGCAAGUCGAGCGGAUGAAGAGAGCUUGCUCUCUGAUUCAGCGGCGGACGGGUGAGUAAUGCCUAGGAAUCUGCCUGAUAGUGGGGGACAACGUUUCGAAAGGAACGCUAAUACCGCAUACGUCCUACGGGAGAAAGCAGGGGACCUUCGGGCCUUGCGCUAUCAGAUGAGCCUAGGUCGGAUUAGCUAGUUGGUGAGGUAAUGGCUCACCAAGGCGACGAUCCGUAACUGGUCUGAGAGGAUGAUCAGUCACACUGGAACUGAGACACGGUCCAGACUCCUACGGGAGGCAGCAGUGGGGAAUAUUGGACAAUGGGCGAAAGCCUGAUCCAGCCAUGCCGCGUGUGUGAAGAAGGUCUUCGGAUUGUAAAGCACUUUAAGUUGGGAGGAAGGGCAUUAACCUAAUACGUUAGUGUUUUGACGUUACCGACAGAAUAAGCACCGACUAACUUCGUGCC
rnacentral:rRNA from 1 species